rnacentral:rRNA from 1 species
GAUGAACGCUGGCGGCGUGCUUAAUACAUGCAAGUCGAACGAAGCACUUUAUUUGAUUUCCUUCGGAUCUGAUCAUUUUGUGACUGAGUGGCGGAUGGGUGAGCAACGCGUGGGUAACCUGCCUCGUACAGGAGGAUAACAUUUGGAAACGGCUGCUAAUACCGCAUAAGCGCACACAAUCGCAUGAUGUCUUGCGAAAAACUCCAGUGGUAUAAGAUGGACCCGCGUUGGAUUAGCUAGUCGGUGAGGUACCUGCCGACCAAGGGUACGAUGCGUAGCCGACCUGAGAGGGUGAUCUGCCACACUGACACGGAGACACGGUCCAGACUCCUACGGGAGGCAGCAGUAGGGAAUCUUCCGCAAUGGGCGAAAGCCUGACGGAGCAACGCCGCGUGAGUGAAGAAGGUCUUCGGAUCGUAAAACUCUGUUAUUAGGGAAGAACAAAUGUCUAAGUAACUAUGCACGUCUUGACGGUACCUAAUCAGAAAGCCACGGCUAACUACGUG